GAUGAACGCUGGCGGCGUGCCUAAUACAUGCAAGUCGAGCGAACGGACGAGAAGCUUGCUUCUCUGAUGUUAGCGACGGACGGGUGAGUAACAUGUGGAUAACCUACCUAUAAGACUGGGAUAACUUCGGGAAACCGGAGCUAACACCGGAUAAUAUCUUGAACCGCAUGGUUCAAAAGUGAAAGACGGUCUUGCUGUCACUUAUAGAUGGAUCCGCGCUGCAUUAGCUAGUUGGUAAGGUAACGGCUUACCAAGGCAACGAUGCAUAGCCGACCUGAGAGGGUGGUCGGCCACACUGGAACUGAGCCGCGGCCCAGGCUCCUACGGGAGGCAGCAGUAGGGAAUCGUCCGCAAUGGGCGGAAGCCUGACGGAGCAGCGCCGCGUGAGUGAUGAAGAUCUUCGGAUCGUAAAACUCUGUUAUUGGGGAAGAACAUAUGUGGAAGUAGCUGUGCACAUCUUGACGGUACCUGAUCAAGAAGCAACGGCUAACUACGUG
rnacentral:rRNA from 1 species